GGCGGGCGGGUCUAGGCGCCCAGCGACGCAGGGCGCAGGCGCUAGAACUGUCCCUCCGCGCUCCUGCGGGGAAGGAGGGGCAAAACUGGCUUCUCCAAGCGCCGGCGCGGGAGGCCGGGGUGGGCCGCGCCCCUCCGGGAACGAGACGCGAGGGGCGUGGCCCAGCACCAAGCCCCGCCCACCACUGCGGUCGAAGCGGGAGGGGGCCCUGCAGCUGGAGAAUGUCUUUCCCAUAAAUUCCUGAGUGGAUGUCUUUUGUCUGAUGCGUUCCUGCCUGUGACGCCAAUGAAAAGUGAAAACCGGAAUGUGGAUAAAAGCCCAUCUGCAAGGUGCUUUAUGAAUUUUUCUGGAUGUGUCGUAAUAUCACCAUGAGGCAGAGAUGGCACGGUCUCCCAUUUGGCGCUUGACAAGAAAAUGGAUGAUGCUGGUCCUUAGUGCUGACAGCGAUUGCUAGGCUCUGAAGUCCCUGAUUGGAAAGGAAGCCUGUUUUCAUGGUAACUGCAAGUAGAGAGAAGAAGCUAAAAAUCGAGACACUGAUAUAUUAGUGGUCCUUUCAUACUCUUAAGAUUUCUUACAUAAGAGGCUGUGUGUGAGAUCCAAUUCCUGAAACUGCUUUUCCUACCGGCUCCCUCUCGCUGUACCAGUAAACUUCCCAGAGACUGACUCUUCCGUGAGA